rnacentral:rRNA from 1 species
ACGAGAGGCCCAAACGUUAUUCGGAUUUACUGGGCUUAAAGAGUUCGUAGGCGGUUCGGUAAGUGAGGUGUGAAAGCCCUCGGCUCAACCGAGGAAUUGCGCUUCAAACUGCCGGGCUCGAGGGAGAUAGAGGUGAGCGGAACUGAUGGUGGAGCGGUGAAAUGCGUUGAUAUCAUCAGGAACACCAGAGGCGAAGGCGGCUCACUGGGUCUCUUCUGACGCUGAGGAACGAAAGCUAGGGGAGCAAACGGGA